AAAUGGAAAGGUAUUAAUUAUAAUUAUUUUUCUGUCGUCGUCACUUUUCUUUUUUCAUUUUGUUUCAUGUUGAAGUCUUUAACGAAAGAAUUUCUGUUGCUAGUGUGCGCUCAAUAUUAUUUGAAAGGGGUCUUGUUAUCGUAAAUAAUUAUUCAUGCAUGUUGUUUUUUUUUCGUUCAUAAUCAUAAGGUCUUAUCGAUUGAAAGAGUAACUACUAUCUAUGAACAUUGUAGUCCUUAAUUUGCUUUGUGAAAUCAUUUUUUGAAGUUUUGUCUAUCUAUGUGUUUGUCGAUAUCACUUUAGUCGAUAGAAAGUCAAAACAUAAACAUGGAUGAGUACGAUGAAGGAAAGUAUGAUGAAAAGGAGGAGGCAGGAACUAGUGUGCAUCACAAGAAAAACAAUGUUUUACCAUUAUGGGGCAACGAACGAUCUAUGAACUUGAAUCCUUUGAUUUUAACCAAUAUACAGUCAUCUCAUUAUUUUAAAGUUAAUUUAUACGAAUUGAAGACAUAUCACGAAGUAAUUGACGAAAUAUAUUACAAAGUUAGCCAUUUAGAACCAUGGGAAAAAGGAAGUCGUAAAACUGCCGGACAAACUGGAAUGUGUGGUGGAGUCAGAGGAGUUGGAGCCGGCGGAAUUGUAUCAACGGCAUUUUGCUUGCUUUAUAAGCUCUUUACCUUGAAGCUUACCCGUAAGCAGGUAAUUGGGCUAAUCACCCACCCAGAUUCUCCUUAUAUACGCGUUCUUGGUUUUAUGUAUAUCAGGUACACUCAACCACCAGCAGAUCUGUGGGAUUGGUAUGAGCCAUAUUUAGACGACGCUGAAGAACUUGACGUCAAAGCUGGUGGUGGACAAAUUAUGACCAUUGGAAAUAUCUUGAAAAAUUUCUUAUGUAAAUUAGAAUGGUUUUCGACUCUUUUUCCUAGAAUUCCCGUCCCUAUUCAACAAAAACUUGAAAGAAAAAUGAACGAACGGUAUCCUCCACCUGUUCCUACAGCACGACAACAUGCAGGCCCUGCUGGCCGUAGUAUGUCGAAAUCAAGGCAUUCGCCCGAAGAUAAUAGUAAAUAUCCAAGACCUAGAGAAGUUCAGCCGAGUGCCGAUCGCGAUAGAAGUUCAGGCCGUUAUUCAAGAAACAGAAGCUCGAGUGUGGAACGAACAGAGAAGUAUUCCGAAAAGAAACCAGAUGCUUAUGAAGAAAGAAGUAGAGAUAGAAGUCCUAAUGCUCGAAAUGGUCAUCGAAGCUCAAGUAGAGAUCGAUACAGAGGUGAAAGGGAUAGGUAUCGAGAAAGGAGACAUAGCCCCGAGCGUCAUCGUCAUCGUAGUCCAAAGCCUUAUUCGGAAUACAAAGACGAUAGAUAUCGCAGUAGUUUUAAAUACGAUCACGAAAGAAAGUGCGCCGAUGAUUACGAAGAAGAGAAGAAAUACAAAACUGAUCCUCACGAUAAAAGUCGUAGAAAAUCCUAUUCACCGGAUAGUCACAGGUAGUUGUUUUCUCCAGUUAGAAGACGAAUUUUUAGGUUCACGCUUACCUUUCUAUCAUGAAAUGUUCAUGGAGUAAUUAUGGAUCUCAUAAAUCAAAAAAAGAAAAAUACCGAUCCAGUUACAAAGAUGAUGAUUAUGAACGUCAUAGAAGUGAUAGAAGAAAGUAUAGUGAAGAGAGGGAUUAUGAAGAUGAAACGUCAAUAAAAAAGUCAAAGUAUGCUUAGGCUGACCCACCGAAUUGAGCUGUGAAAAAAACUUUGUAAGUUCUCACCAUUGUAAAAAAUGUAAUAAAAUGUUUCUUUUUGUA